rnacentral:rRNA from 1 species
AGAGUUUGAUCCUGGCUCAGGACGAACGCUGGCGGCGUGCUUAACACAUGCAAGUCGAACGGUGAAGCCCUUCGGGGUGGAUCAGUGGCGAACGGGUGAGUAACACGUGAGCAACCUGCCCUUGACUCUGGGAUAACUACCGGAAACGGUGGCUAAUACUGGAUAUGACGUAUCCGGGCAUCCGGGUGUGUGGAAAGUUUUUCGGUCAGGGAUGGGCUCGCGGCCUAUCAGCUUGUUGGUGGGGUGAUGGCCUACCAAGGCGACGACGGGUAGCCGGCCUGAGAGGGCGACCGGCCACACUGGGACUGAGACACGGCCCAGACUCCUACGGGAGGCAGCAGUGGGGAAUAUUGCGCAAUGGGCGAAAGCCUGACGCAGCGACGCCGCGUGGGGGAUGAAGGCCUUCGGGUUGUAAACCUCUUUCAGCGCCGAAGAAGCGAAAGUGACGGUAGGCGCAGAAGAAGCACCGGCUAACUACGUGCCAGCAGCCGCGGUAAUACGUAGGGUGCAAGCGUUGUCCGGAAUUAUUGGGCGUAAAGAGCUCGUAGGCGGUUUGUCGCGUCUGCUGUGAAAACUCGGGGCUUAACUCCGGGCCUGCAGUGGGUACGGGCAGACUAGAGUGCGGUAGGGGAGACUGGAAUUCCUGGUGUAGCGGUGAAAUGCGCAGAUAUCAGGAGGAACACCGGUGGCGAAGGCGGGUCUCUGGGCCGUAACUGACGCUGAGGAGCGAAAGCGUGGGGAGCGAACAGGAUUAGAUACCCUGGUAG